GUGAAUCAUCGAAUUUUUGAACGCAAAUUGCGCUCCCUAGCAUUCCGGGAAGCAUGCCUGUUUGAGGAUCAGUAUUAUCAACAAAUCGGUUUUGUUGCAAAUUGUGCCGUUUUCGGAGUUUGGGCUUAUCUUAACUUUUUUGGUUCAGGGGCUUAAAAUUGACCUUUUUUGCGCAUUUUUAGUCGUACGUAAAUUUUUUUUUAUUCGUCUAUUCGUAAUGCCAAAAUCUUAUUAAAUCCGAUCGCAUCAU
rnacentral:misc_RNA from 1 species